rnacentral:ncRNA from 25 species
AAGAAAAAUAGUUCAUUGGUGAAUUGGGUGUAAUUCCCAAACAGGGCCGCUACGGUUAUAGUCCGAACCCAAAAAUCUUACGAGCGCUAAGUAAUAUGUUAAA